CCUAGUAAGCACAAGUCACUAGCUUGUGCUGAUUACGUCCCUGCCCUUUGUACACACCGCCCGUCGCUACUACCGAUUGAAUGGCUUAGUGAGGCCCUCGGAUCGUUUUUAAGAAACUGUAAAAGGUUUUUUUCUGAUGAGAAGUUGGUCAAACUUGGUCAUUUAGAGGAAGUAAAAGUCGUAACAAGGUUUCCGUAGGUGAACCUGCGGAAGGAUCAUUACUGAUUUAUGCGAACCUCGCGUCAGCGGGGAUCUCGCGUUCGUAUUUAAAACACCCACUCUUAAAAAAUUUUUAUAAUCAUAUGUAAAUAAAUAAAAGAUCACUUUCAACAACGGAUCUCUUGGCUCUCGCAUCGAUGAAGAACGUAGCGAAGUGCGAUAAGUAGUGUGAAUUGCAGAAUUCCGUGAAUCAUCGAAUUUUUGAACGCAAAUUGCACUCUCCGGUUUUCCGGGAGAGUAUGCCUGUUUGAGGGUCAGUUUAAAUACAAAUCGGGGUUGUUGCUGUGGUGACGCCUUCGGAAUUGGGUCAUCUUUGCCUUUGGGUUUAAGCGACCUAAAAUUUUUUACGAUCCCACGAACGUGUUUAAGAUUUUCUUAUACGUUCACGGUAUCGAAUCCUACUAGAUGUGGCCGCUGCGUCGGUAUUCACGUCCAUAAUUAUCAUCAAAUGACCUCAGACAGGUAAGAGUACCCGCUGAACUUAAGCAUAUCAAUAAGCGGAGGAAAAGAAAAUAACAAUGAUUCCCUUAGUAACGGCGAGUGAAGGGGGAUAAGCUCAAAUUUUAAAUCUACCAGGUUAACCUGGUCGAGUUGUAAUUUGAAGAAGCGUUUUCCGCGUCCGGGUCGGCCCAAAUCCUUUGGGAUAAGGUAUCAUGGAGGGUGAGAAUCCCGUUCGGCUGACCUUAGGAUGCUUUACGAUACGCUCUCAAAGAGUCGAGUUGUUUGGGAUUGCAGCUCAAAAUGGGAGGUAAAUUUCUCCUAAGGCUAAAUACCGGCGAGAGACCGAUAGCGAACAAGUACCGUGAGGGAAAGAUGAAAAGAACUUUGAAAAGAGAGUUAAAUAGUACGUGAAAUUGUUGAAAGGGAAACGAUUGAAGUCAGUCGUACCGGCGGGAAAUCAGCUUUUCGAGUGGGGGUUCGCGGGUGCGUGGAGCUUCGGCCUUCGUCGCUUGUGACACCUUUUGCUUCUGGAGCGUACUUUUCCGUGUGGUAGGUCAACAUCGGUUUCGAUUGCCAUAAAAUGACCGGAGGAAUGUGGCUUCGAUCUUGUAUUGGAGUGUUAUAGCCUCUGGUAGAUGUGGUGGUUGGGAUCGAGGAUUGCAACGAAUACCCUUUGGGCUAUCCGCCUGACCUCUGAAAGUCGCUUGGGUACCGAAAGCUUGUUUACGGUCAUUCAAGUUGGCGGUCAAAAGGUUAGAACGUGAUUAAAUUCGUUAAGGAUGUUGACGUAAUGGCUUUAAACGACCCGUCUUGAAACACGGACCAAGGAG
rnacentral:rRNA from 1 species